GCCUCUUGACGGGAACGGA
rnacentral:snRNA from 1 species